rnacentral:rRNA from 1 species
UACAGAGGGUGCGAGCGUUAAUCGGAAUGACUGGGCGUAAAGGGUGCGUAGGUGGUUUGAUAAGUUGGUUGUGAAAGUCCUGGGCUCAACCUGGGGAUUGCGAACAAUACUGUCGAGCUAGAGUACUGUAGAGGGGAGUGGAAUUUCCAGUGUAGCGGUGAAAUGCGUAGAUAUUGGAAGGAACACCAAUGGCGAAGGCAACUCCCUGGAUAGCUACUGACACUGAGGCACGAAAGCAUGGGGAGCAAACAGG